ensembl:lncRNA
CUGGGACAAUAGGUUGGGGUAGGGCCAAGCCCCUCUCCCAUGCAUUAAGGCUGAGUGAGCAUGGUAUCCCACCAUAGGGAAUGGGCUCCAAAAAGCUAGCUCAUGUACCAGAACUAGAUCAUGGUGAUGCUCAGUGCCCUGGAGUCUCCACAGCUGUCAGUCUAGAGUUCAUGAGUUUCCAUGAGCUUGUUUCAGCUGUCUCUGUAGAUUUCUGCAUCAUGGUGCUGACCUCCCUUGCUCAUAUAUUCCCUCCUCCCUCUCUUCGACUGGAUUCCAUCAAUUACUGGAUGAAAGCGCUAUGAUAGUUGGGGUAUUCACCAGUGUGAUUACAGGAGUAGGCCUGUUUGGGCACCCUCUUCACUAUUCCUAGGAGUCUUAGCUGGGGUCAUCCUUGUGAAUUCUAGGUAGUUACCCUAGCCCCAUAGUAGUUCUACUAAGAUAUCUCUUUCACUGCUCUUCUACUGCAUUCCUCCCCUCAACCAUCCCUUUCCCUCAUGUUCUUACCCCCUUUUCUCCCCCUUACCAUCCCCCACCCCCUACUCCCAGUUUACCCUGUAGAUCUCAUCUAAUUUCCAUUCCCAGGGUGAUCCAUGUGUCCCUCUUAGGGUCCUCCUUGUUACCUAGCUUCUCUGGAGCUGUGGAUUGUAGUCUGGUUAUCCUUUGUUUCACAUCUAGUAUCCACUUAGGAGUGAGUACAUACUGUGUUUGUCUUUCUGAGACUGGGUUACCUCACUCAGGAUGCUUUUUUUUUUUUUUCUAGUUCUAUCCAUUUGCCUGAAAAUUUCAUGAGGUCAUCAUUUUUUUUUUUUUUUUUUUACAUUUGAGUAGUACUCCAUUGUGUAAAUGUACUACAUUUUCCUCAUCUAUUCUUCAGCUGAGGGGCAUCUAGGUUGUUUCCAGGCUACGGCUAUUAUGUGCUCAACAUCCUUAAUCAUCAGUGAAAUGCAAAUCAAAACUACUCUGAUACCAUCUUACACCUGCCAGAAUGACUAAGAUCAAAAAUACUGAGGACAUCUUAUGUUGGAGAGGAUAUAGAGUCAAGGGAACACUCCUAUACUGCUGGUGGGAGUGCAGACUUGUACAGCCACUUGGAAAUCAGUAUAACGGUUUCUAAGAAAAUUGGGAAUCAAUCUACUUCAAGACCCAACGAUACCACUCUUGGACACUUGCUCAACGAAGCCAUUGUUCAUUUUUUUUUUAAUGCAAAGUCAUUGUUUUUAACAGCUGAGUAGUACUCCUUUGUGUAAACAUACCACAUUUUCUUUAUCCAUUCUUUAGUUGAGAGACAUCUAGGUUGUUUCCAGUCUCUGGUAUUAUGAAUAAAGCUGCAAUGAACAUGGUUGAGCAAGUGUCUCUGUAGUAGGACGGAGCAUCCUCUGAGUAUAUAUAUAUAUAUACCCAAGAAUGGUAUAGGUGGAUCUUGAGGUACAUCUAGUCGCAAUUUUCUGAGACGCUUUCAUAUUGAUUUCUAUAGUGGCUGUACUAGUUUGCACUCCUAUCAGCAAUGGAGAAGUAUUCCCCUUGCUCCAUAUCCUCACCAGCAUAAGCUAUCACUUGUGUUUUUGGUCUUAGCCAUCCUGACAGAGUUGGUUUGAUUUGCAUUUCCCUGAUGGCUAAGGAUGUUGAACAUUUCCUUACACAGUUUCUCAGUCAUUUGAGAUUCCACUACUGAGAAAAAUGUUUAGAUCUCCACCCCAUUUUUUAAAUUGGAUUGUUUGGUUUGUUGAUGUCUAGUUUCUUGGGUUCUUUAUAUAUUUUGGAUAUUUGCCCUUUAUCAGAUUUGGGGUUGGUGAAAAUCUUUUCUGUAGGCUGCUGUUCUGUCCUAUUGAUAGUGUCCUUUGCCUUACAGAGAUUUUUCAGUUUCAUGAGGUUCCAUUUAUUGUUGAUCUUCGUAACUGCUUGAUUGGUGUUCUGUUCAGGAAGUUGUCUCCUGUGGCAAGGCAUUCAAGGCUAUCCUCUACUUUCCCGUUUACCAGGCUCAGUGUGUCUGUUUAUGAUGAGGUCUUUGAUCUAUUUGGUCUUGAGUUCUGUGUAGGUUGACAGAUAUCAAUCUAUUUGCAAUCUUCUACAUGUUGACAACCAGUUAGACCAGCACCAUUUACUGAAGAUGCUUUCUUUUUCCCAUUAUGUAUUUCUGGCUUCUUAAUUAAAAAAAAAAAAAAAUGUCUAUAGGUAUGUGUAUUUAUGUCUGGGCCUUCUAUUUGAUUCCAUGGAUCAACUUGUUUUUAUGCCAAUACGGUAAGGUUUUUUAUUUUUUUAAUUUUUUAUUACUAUAUAGCUCUGUAGAGCUUAAAAUCAGGGAUAGUGAUAUCCUGGAUUUUUGUUUUUCCAUUUGAAGUCGAGUGUUGUCCUCUUAAGGUCUGUAAAGGCUAAUGUGAUAGAAUUUGAUGGGGAUUGAGCUGAAUCUGUAGAUUGCUUUUGGUAAAAUGGCUAUUUUCAUUGUGGGACAUUUUCCUACCAAUCCAUGAGCAUGGGAGAUCUUUCCAUCUUUUGACAUCCUCUUCAAUCUCUUUCUUCAAAGACUUGAAGUUUUUGUCAUACAAGUCUUUUACUUGCUUGAUUAGAGUUACCCCAUGGUAUUUUAUAUUAUUUGUGGCUAUUGUGAAGGGUGUUGUUUCCCUGAUUUCUUUUGUUAUUUGUGUAUAGGAGGGUUACUAUUUUGUUUUCUUUUUUUAGUUAAUCCUGGGAGGGUGCAUGGAUCUCCCUGGGAAAUCAAAAUAAAGUAGAUUUUAUGGGUAGUAGGUGGGGAUGGGAAAAGGAAGGAUCAGGUGGGGGUGUGUGGGAGGGAAGGGGAGAGAGAGGGAAAGGGAGGGGAGGGAGGGGGAGAGAGAGAGAGACAGAGAGACAGAGAGAGAGAGAGAACUGGGAGAGAUGACAGAACUGGAAGGCAUGGCGGGGGAAAGAUGUAGAAACUUAGUGCAGUGGAAACUCCCUGGAAUCUAUGAGAGGGACACCAACUGAAAUCUCCUAGUAAUGGGGGAUACAGAGCCCAAACUGGCGGCAAUUUUACAACUAGGCAAGGCUCCUAGCAGUUGGACAGGGACAUCAACCCAGACAGAAAACCUUCGACUUACAAUCUGUCCCUCCUGCAAGACAUGCUGGGGCAAUGGUGACAGAGAACUGACUAAACAUUAGGCAGAGUCAGGGGAACUGAAGAGGGGAAGGAAGGAUUGUAGGAGCCAGAGGGUUUAAGAACACUAGGAGAAUGUGGGCCACAGAAUCAACUAAGCUGGGCUGAUAUCAUCUCACAAGGACUGAAGCAAUAAACAGGGACCCUGUAUGUAUCUGAGCUAGGUCCUCCGCAUACAUGUUAUGGUUGUGUAGACUGGUGUUCUUGUGGGACUCCUAACAAUGGGAGUGGGGGGAGCACUAUCUCUGACUCCUUUGCCUGCACAUGAAACCCUUUUCCUCCUACUGGGUUGCCUUGUCCAGCCUUGAAAUGAAGGUUUGUGCCUAGUCUUGUUGUAUCUUGUUAGGCCAUGUUCAGUGGAUAUCCCUAGGAAGUCUGUUUUUUUUGGGGGGUGGGUAAACAGAAGAGAAGUUGAUCUGGGGAGAGGGGAGGGGUUUGGGGACGGACUGGGAGGAGUGGAGAGAGGGGAAACUGUGGUCAGGAUGUAUAAUGUAUGAGAGAAGAAUAAAGGUUUUUUGUUUUUGUUUUACGAUUUAACACUCUAACCACACCAAAAAAAAAAAAAAAAAAAAAAAGUUGCUUGUAUUUGGGAAGUGACUUUAGAUGAUAACAGCCUUCUGCUGCAUAAUCUGGGUAAUUAUCAGUGGCUUUGUGAUAAAUCAGAGUUAAAUACUGUUUUGUAUACUUUUCUUUAUGGGUGCUUUGUCUCUUUCAAUUAAAAGAGCUUUUAAGAGAUUACUAGUGCCUCAGGAGAACAGCAAUGUAUUUUUCACUGAAGUGAAGCCUAAACCAGAUGCUCCUAUUGUGGGUGACUCUAAACUUGGUGAUGCUCAGGGAUCUAGGCACCUCUGCUCCAUUGCAUCUAGUUGGACGAUGUGGAAAUAACAUAGGGAACUGUUUGUUAAAAGAUCCGCCAGGUGGUGGUGGUGCACGCCUUUAGUCCCAGCACUCGGGAGGUAGAGGUGUGCGACACCAACGCCCAGUGCCUUUCACUUUCUUUAUCUGGUAUGCAAACACCACUCUGACUAUCCCUGGCCUGCCUAAUGUACAGUGCUGGAAAAUACAGUUUAAUUUUAGUGUGCCCAGAAAGAGGGCACUGAGGGAAUUUCUUCCACAGGAAAGAAAAACAGGUGACUGGUAAGGAGAUCCGGAAGAAGAAAAUGAAUUAACUGAGGGAAAGAAUAU